rnacentral:tRNA from 1 species
CGGGGUGUGGCUCAGUUGGCUAGAGCGCGUCGUUCGGGACGACGAGGUCGCCCGUUCAAGUCGGGUCACCCCGA